rnacentral:rRNA from 1 species
UACGGAGGGUGCGAGCGUUAUCCGGAAUUACUGGGUUUAAAGGGUGCGUAGGCGGAUGAUUAAGUCCAAGGUGAAAUAUUGUCGCUUAACGAUAAGAGUGCCUUGGAUACUGGUUAUCUUGAAUUUGAUUGAGGAUUGCGGAAUGUGACAUGUAGCGGUGAAAUGCAUAGAUAUGUCAUAGAACACCAAUUGCGAAGGCAGCAAUCUGGGUCACAAUUGACGCUGAGGCACGAAAGCGUGGGGAUCAAACAGG